GCAAGCCCCGGAGCAUGAACCCCAGUUUCCCAAACUUGCACAUGCCUUCUGUUCCUUGUUUGUGCAUUUACGUAUAGGAGUUGCUUGAAAACGUAGAUGCAUGACUUAGUUCCCUAUUUUGAACACUAGCUAUUGGACCGAGUAGUGGCCAUGCUUAAAUAGGAAGCGCUAAAAGCCGAGUGAUCUCCUGUCACUCGCGAGUUGUAG
rnacentral:lncRNA from 1 species